rnacentral:rRNA from 1 species
GACGAACGCUGGCGGCGUGCUUAACACAUGCGAGUCGAACGGAAAGGCCCUGCUUGCAGGGUACUCGAGUGGCGAACGGGUGAGUAACACGUGGGUGAUCUGCCCUGCACUUCGGGAUAAGCCUGGGAAACUGGGUCUAAUACCGGAUAGGAGCCAUUUUUAGUGUGAUGGUUGGAAAGUUUUUUUCGGUGUAGGAUGAGCUCGCGGCCUAUCAGCUUGUUGGUGGGGUAAUGGCCUACCAAGGCGGCGACGGGUAGCCGGCCUGAGAGGGUGGACGGCCACAUUGGGACUGGGAUACGGCCCAGACUCCUACGGGAGGCAGCAGUGGGGAAGAUUGCACAAUGGGCGCAAGCCUGAUGCAGCGACGCCGCGUGGGGGAUGACGGCCUUCGGGUUGUAAACGCCUUUCGCUAGGGACGAAGCCUUUUGUGACGGUACCUAGAUAAGAAGCACCGGCUAACUACGUG